UCAUAUUUCCAAUUACUGAGGAAAAGGAAACCAACAGGGAUUGCCUCAGUAACGGCGAGUGAAGCGGCAAAAGCUCAAAUUUGAAAUCCCCCCGGGGAGUUGUAAUUUGAAGAUUGCGUCUUGGAGGCGACCGUGUCUAUGUUCCUUGGAACAGGACGUCACAGAGGGUGAGAAUCCCGUGCGGCACGGCCCCCGGCUCCUUAUAAGGCGCUCUCGACGAGUCGAGUUGUUUGGGAAUGCAGCUCAAAGUGGGUGGUAAAUUCCAUCUAAAGCUAAAUACAGGCGAGAGACCGAUAGCGAACAAGUACAGUGAUGGAAAGAUGAAAAGCACUUUGAAAAGAGAGUGAAACAGCACGUGAAAUUGUUGAAAGGGAAGGGCAUGCCGUCAGAUUGUCAGUGUGGGUAAGAAGCGGGGUACAAAGACUGUGGAACGUGGCCCUCGGGUGUUAUAGCCGCAGUUCAUGCCCCGUCUCUUUCCGAGGCCUGCUUUGAGGACACCGACGUAAUGACGGUACGCCGCCCGUCUUAAAAACACGGAACCAA
rnacentral:rRNA from 1 species